ensembl:snRNA U6 U6 spliceosomal RNA
AUUUCUGAGAACCUAACAGCAGUGCUCGCUAAAAUUGGGAUGAUACAGAGAAGACCAGCACGGCCCCUGUGCAAGGACAACACACAAAUUCAUGACGCGCUCCAUAUUUUC